UACGGAGGGAGCGAGCGUUGUCCGAAGUACUGGGCGUAAAGCGCGCGUAGGCGGGGGAUUAAGUGAGAAGUGAAAGGCUGGGGCUCAACCCCAUGCAGUGCUUCUCAUACUGGUCCUCUUGAGGGCGGUAGAGAGAAGUGGGAAUGGCUGGUGUAGCGGUGAAAAUGCGUAGAUAUCAGGAAGAACACCCGUGGCUAAGGCGGCUCUCUAGUACGGUACUGACGCUGAGACGCGAAAGCGUGGGGAGCGAACAGG
rnacentral:rRNA from 1 species